rnacentral:lncRNA from 1 species
GCCUCGUUUUCGGACCAGAAGGCUCUUGGGCUGGCUCCCACGUGGCAAUUCUUGACUCUCUAAUUAUAUCUGCUCGAAACAAGGAACACUUAGGGCUGAGGGAGAGCAAUGGUGCAAGUUCCUGUCUAAGACCCUGAUAGAAGGCUCUGUGCAAACUGAGAUUACGAGAGGGUUUCAGAAAGACUCGUAGAUUCAUUUGCAAAUAAGGAAAUUGAGGCUGAGAGAAGUGAAGUGACUAAUUCAAGAUCCCGUUGAAGGUAUAGUAGCAGAGCUGAGACCAGAGCUAAGUCUCCUGAUUCACGGCGCAAAACUUAAGAUUCGGAGCUGGAAGAUCUCCAUUUGACUCCCAGCGUUUCCGUUAGCCACGCAUGUCCCUUACCUUCUUUAGGUCUCCAUUUCUGCAGACGUGUGGCACGGUGCAAGUCGCUUAUCUCCUGGCUCCCUCAGCAUCUUCAUUUGUAAGGAUGCAAUCCAGGACACCUCUUGCCUUUAGACAUCAUGUCUCAGUCUCCUCUGAUCUGUGAAAGUUUCUUAGUCUUUGCUUGUUUUUGUGACUUGGACAGUUUUGAAGAGUACCAGUGAGGUAUCUUGUAGAGAGUCUUGAAGACUGAUGGUGUUUUCUUGUGACUACGCUGGAGUUGUGGAUUUUGAGGGAAGAAUGUCACAGAGCUCAUAUCUGUCACUCUGGGGGUGAGAAGAUCUCAAAUCCUGCAGCUACUUUCCUGCGUCCCCAGUCUCAAGAGCCUCGGAUGAAGAGGGAAGCCUCGCUCCCAGUUUAGCCAGGCUCUGCCUCUUGCUGGAGAUGCUGUAGUUUGAAAGUGGAAACUGCAUUAAAUUUGGAGUUUAUUCUUAGGGGCUGUGGUUCCAGGAAUCAUGAGAGCAAUUCCUUUAGAGAACUGAGCCGGCUUAAAGCCACGAAAGCACUAAGCCAAUAGGUCUUACCUUCUCAAGAGACAGCGAGAAUUCAAAGCUUGCAUUUGGGAGAAGAAACUGGAAAAUCAUCGUCC